UGCAUGUUCUUUGUUUAAACCACAUUGCGCGGCAAACACAGUGGUGAGAGCACUGUUUCGUCUGACUCUUUUGCCGGCGGUGGUUUACCCGAGCGGUACACUGCAGUCUUCCUGCUCGUCUGCUUCCCUGGGCUCCUGUGCAGUAUUACCGUCAGGUAGUAAAAGCUUCCAACGGUUAUACCGUCAUCAGCAACUAAAAAAAAUAAAAGAGUUUAUUUUCGUA